rnacentral:rRNA from 1 species
CCAGACUCCUACGGGAGGCAGCAGUGAGGAAUAUUGGUCAAUGGGCGAGAGCCUGAACCAGCCAAGUCGCGUGAGGGAAGACGGUCCUAUGGAUUGUAAACCUCUUUUGCCGGGGAGCAAAAAGCGGUACGUGUACCGCAUCGAGAGUACCCGGAGAAAAAGCAUCGGCUAACUACGUGCCAGCAGCCGCGGUAAUACGUAGGAGGCAAGCGUUAUCCGGAAUGACUGGGCGUAAAGGGUGCGUAGGUGGUUUGACAAGUUAGUAGCGCAACUCCGGAGCUUAACUUCGGAACUACUACUAAAACUGUUGGACUUGAGUGCAGGAGGGGCAAUCGGAAUUCCUAGUGUAGCGGUGGAAUGCGUAGAUAUUAGGAGGAACACCAGUGGCGAAGGCGGAUUGCUAGACUGUAACUGACACUGAGGCACGAAAGCGUGGGGAGCAAACAGGAUUAGAUACCCGAGUA